AAAGUUAAUUCUAGCUUUUAUAUUUAUAUAUUAUUUAUUUAUAUAUAUUAAUUUUUAUAAAAUAUAAAAUAAUUUUAAAAAUUUAUUUUUAAAAUAUAUUAUUUAAUAUUAAAAAUUAAAGAGAUUUAGAUUUAGUAUAAUAAAAAUUAUUAACAAAUUUUGUGCCAGCAGUUGCGGUUAUACCUAAAAUAAAUUAAAUAUUCAUUUAUAAUUAAUUAAUAUGUAAAAAAUAGAAUUUAUAAAUUUUUAAAUUUAUUAGGUAAAAUUUUAAAUUUAAUUAAACUUAAAAUAUUUUAAUUAUGAAGUUAAUGAAAUAAAUUUAAAUAAACUAGGAUUAGAUACCCUAUUAUAAAAAUUAAUAAUUAAAAUAUAAAGUAGUAAAAGUUAUAGGCUCUAAACUUAAAGAAUUUGGCAGUAUUUUAAUCUAUUUAGAGGAACCUGUUUAUUAAUUGAUACUCCACGAUUAAUUUUACUUAAUUUAUUUAAUUUGUAUAUCGUUGUUAUAAAAAUUUUUUUAAGAAAAAAAAUUUAAUUAUUUUAAUUAAAAAUUAUAUCAAAUCAAGAUGCAGUUUAUAUUUAAGAAUUUAAUGGGUUAUCAUAAAUUUAUUUAUGGAAAAAUAAUGAAAUAUAAUUUAUAAAUUAGAUUUAAUAGUAAUUUGAAUAAUUUUAUUUAAAUGAUGUAAGUUCUAAAAUAUGCACAUAUUGCCCGUCAUUUUCAUUUUGAAUUGAAACAAGUCGUAACAUAGUAGAAUUACUGGAAAGUGUUUCUAGAA
rnacentral:ncRNA from 1 species